AAUCAACGCUGGCGGCGUGCCUAACACAUGCAAGUCGAACGCGAAAGGGGCUUCGGCCCUGAGUAGAGUGGCAAACGGGUGAGUAACACGUGGGUGACCUGCCUUCGAGUGGGGGAUAACGUCCCGAAAGGGACGCUAAUACCGCAUGACAUCCCGCCUUUGGAGAGGCGGAGAUCAAAGCUGGGGAUCGCAAGACCUGGCGCUUGAAGAGGGGCCCGCGCCUGAUUAGCUGGUUGGUGGGGUAAUGGCUCACCAAGGCGACGAUCAGUAUCCGGCCUGAGAGGGCGGACGGACACACUGGGACUGAGACACGGCCCAGACUCCUACGGGAGGCAGCAGUGGGGAAUUGUUCGCAAUGGGCGCAGGCCUGACGACGCAACGCCGCGUGGAGGAUGAAGAUCUUCGGGUCGUAAACUCCUGUCGAGCGGGAAGAACACCUGCCGGGUGAACAGCCCGGCGGGCCGACGGUACCGCUAAAGGAAGCCCCGGCUAACUCCGUGCCAGCAGCCGAC
rnacentral:rRNA from 1 species